AUAAAUUGGUUGGUGAAUUGCAUAGGCCUGCCACGCGAUCAAAAGUUGAAUAUAUUCAACUAUGUGGCAUCAUGUGAUAAAAUAACAAUAUACCAUAUGGUAUACCUAAAUGUAAUCAUGUGGUUCAGUUAAUCAGAAAAUAAUAUUUUAUAUGGCACAACACGGCACAGUGUAGUGUGAAUCCGUCUAUUUCAUUAUUUGUGUUAGUUACGUAUGGUUAUAACAGCUUGCUCAGUUAUCAAUAUAAAUAUUUCAUCCAUAUCAAAUUAUAACGUGAUAAUACAAUAUCAAGUUUUUUAUUAUGCAUUCUUAAAUUGUAUUCUUACAUUUAUUAUUCUUCUUUACUUAUAUAUUAUUCUUAUUUAUUUAUUUAUUUUUUUUUUCUAUUUAAAAAUGGCAAAUGAAAUAAAAAGGGGUAGAAACUUCACUGAAACGGAAAAAUGCCUAUUAAUUGAUUUAGUUUUAGAGGACGAUGUUGACAUUUUUACAACAAUAAAACAGUAAGAACAGUAACUAGUAACUAUUUAUAACUGUAAAUAGUCGCACAGAAUUAGGAAAUUAGUCACAAGAAAAUUGAAUUACGUUCUUUUCGUUAUAACAAAAUUAUAAUUACCUAAAUGAAAGUUAAACAGUUCUGCAAAUUUUACUGAACUGAAAUCGGUUCUACAACUACUAUCAAUUCAAUAACUGUUUUUGAUAAGAAUUAUCAAAUUUAUGGAACCGGUAGCCAGCUAUAAGUAUAGUUUUUUGCAACCCGGCAUUAGUAUAAGUAAGUAAUGAACAUAUUUUGAAAGUACAAACAUAUUAAAUAUAUUCAAAUUAGUUAAAUAAUUUAAAUACUUGAUAUAUUAUAUAUUGUUUUGUAUAUUAUAAACGUAUUCCUCGAAAAUCCGAUACAUUGAUAGGUACUAUAGAAGUUAAAAAUUUC